rnacentral:rRNA from 1 species
UACAGAGGGUGCAAGCGUUAAUCGGAAUUACUGGGCGUAAAGCGCGCGUAGGUGGUUCGUUAAGUUGGAUGUGAAAUCCCCGGGCUCAACCUGGGAACUGCAUUCAAAACUGUCGAGCUAGAGUAUGGUAGAGGGUGGUGGAAUUUCCGUGUGUAGCGGUGAAAUGCGUAGAUAAUAGGAAGGAACACCAGUGGCGAAGGCGACCACCUGGACUGAUACUGACACUGAGGUGCGAAAGCGUGGGGAGCAAACAGGA